rnacentral:rRNA from 1 species
AUUGAACGCUGGCGGCAGGCCUAACACAUGCAAGUCGAACGAGUGGCGGACGGGUGAGUAAUGUCUGGGAAACUGCCUGCUGGAGGUGGAUAACUCCUGGAAACGGUAGCUAAUACCGCAUACCAUCAUAUGUUCCCAUAUGUGAUUAGCUAGUUUGGGGGGUACCGGCUCACCAAGGCGACUAUCCCUAGCUGGUCUGAGAGGAUGACCAGCCACACUGGAACUGAGACACGGUCCAGACUCCUACGGGAGGCAGCAGUGGGGAAUAUUGCACAAUGGGCGCAAGCCUGCUGAAGCCAUGCCGCGUGUAUGAAGAAGGCCUUCGGGUUGUAAAGUACUUUCAGCGGGGAGGCGUUACCCGCAGAAGAAGCACCGGCUAACUCCGUGCCAGCAGCAGCGGUAAUUC